AUGAAAAUGGACUCUACUUGGAGAGUUUGGACAUACGAAUUUGGGCUUGGGAGAACAAAAAAUGUUUUGGGCUUUGGCCUAUUGUUUAGUGUGCACCAGAUAGAAAAAGAUUGGACUUAUAGGAGGCCGCAAGAAACAAUUGUGGGAGCUCAACAGGAAACAUUCAAGAUGGAGCAUGUGGUAAGGGUUUUUGUUCUAUCUAAUUCAUGGUAAAGAUAUCGGGGAGCUGGUUAAAAAGAGUCAUGGUAGCUGUAGUGCUUAGCAGCCAAAGAUUACUAUUAAGGGAUGAAAAUAAAUGCAAAGUACAAACCUUAGAGGAAGAAAAGUGAUGCGAUGACCAAGAACAGCUUCCUGAACCCAUCAAAAGGAAACAAACUCUUUCUACAGAAAGGGUUCUUAGUGUUCUGAAAAGGAUAAGUGACGAGGACUAUUAGUUAUUGGGCUUUAAUCCUAAGAUGAUAUAACUCAUCAGUUGGCCAUGAUCAUAAGGCACAAUGAGAAUCUGAAGAGACAAGAGAAGAAUGGAUCUCCUGCACAUAUUAUAUCUGAGUUUGUGCAAUUAUUGCAGUGCAACAUACUUUGAUAAUGAGUUCAAACGGUUUAUUGCAUUUGAGAUUUGACAAAAUUUGAGUAGAAACAACUCUAAGUUCUUAUGCUCAUCAUGGUUUACAUGUCAGUUAUUGUUUUCCAUACUGUGUCACUUGAAUUAGCAAUGCCAACUCUUCCAACAUAGGAUUUUAGCUAUUGAAGAAGCAUGGGUGGAAAGAAGGGACUGGUCUUGGAGUCUCUGAGCAGUGGACAAAGUGGAAGCCUUGAAGCACUACAAAUUUAGCUUAGCAUUUGAAAUUCUAAUGAGAAAGAUUAUGUAAUUGAAAAAUUAUUUCAAUCCCUUGUUGCUGGUAUGCAUAUAUAUUUUAUCUCUAUUCUCUUGCUUGCAUUUACUCUAUAUACAACAUUAUUAAUGUAACACUAGAUGUUCGUGGGCU